GAUGAACGCUGGCGGCGUGCCUAAUACAUGCCAGUCGAGCGAACAGAUGAGGAGCUUGCUCCUCUGACGUUAGCGGCGGACGGGUGAGUAACACGUGGAUAACCUACCUAUAAGACUGGGAUAACUUCGGGAAACCGGAGCUAAUACCGGAUAAUAUAUUGAACCGCAUGGUUCAAUAGUGAAAGACGGUUUUGCUGUCACUUAUAGAUGGAUCCGCGCCGCAUUAGCUAGUUGGUAAGGUAACGGCUUACCAAGGCGACGAUGCGUAGCCGACCUGAGAGGGUGAUCGGCCACACUGGAACUGAGACACGGUCCAGACUCCUACGGGAGGCAGCAGUAGGGAAUCUUCCGCAAUGGGCGAAGGCCUGACGGAGCAACGCCGCGUGAGUGAUGAAGGUCUUCGGAUCGUAAAACUCUGUUAUUAGGGAAGAACAAAUGUGUAAGUAACUAUGCACGUCUUGACGGUACCUAAUCAGAAAGCCACGGCUAACUACGUG
rnacentral:rRNA from 1 species